rnacentral:lncRNA from 1 species
UGAAACUGACCUACCCCUAAAAUCAAUAUUCUAUUUGUCCUGAUCACAUCAUUUCCUGGUGUAAGUGUCCCUCCAUGAUUCUCUGGACUCAACCGUUGAGCUCCUGCCCCCUGGAGCGGACAGUGACACCAGGGAGGAACUAGGGAGCGGAGAAGUCCAUAGACGGCACUAGCAGGUGAGACCAGACUGGACAGUCAGGUCCUACUGGAUGUAGCUAUCUAAACAUGGUGAAAACAGAAAUGACUUUGGACCAUCUGUAUCAGUUUGGUGGUGGCGGAUGAUGGUGAACCUGGUGGUGUUCCUGUGUCAGCUGUGUAGCCCAGUUGUAUGGCCAGAGUGGGGCCGGUGAGAUGUGGCAUCCUGGAGGACUCAGACCAUCAUCACCACCCUUCAUCACCGGUCAGGAGGGAGAGGAGGAGGAAGAGCAGUCCUGUUCCUGUUUCUCCCUCUGUACCUGAGAUCUCCAGAGGAACACUACUAGCACCAGUCUCCACCACAGAGUCAGAGCUGCCCACUGCAGAGGAGCUGAUGCGUCCCAUCCGACCAGACAGCAUGGACGACACCAGAGGCUGCUAGGUGAGUCUACAGUUGUCUGUCACAUGACUGUAGUGGGGAAGGAUAACAGACACUGUCUGGAAGGUACAGAAUGGAGUGGGACAAUGUUAACAUGAGCUGUAUGUUCACAGUGGGAACCAGCUCAGCCCAGAGAAGACUGGCCAGUUCUUAAGCAAUAGAUCAGCAGAGCCAGACACUCCUCUGGCCUCCCCAGGCCCCCGUCCCAGAAGCAUAAGAGAGGAGGUACAGAGGCUGAUGAAGCAGGAUCAGGACAGCUCCUGACCUGACCUCCACUCAACUCAGCAACAAGAGAAGCCAGCAGGUAAGGGACAGGAACGGAGCCCUUGUUAAUAAGCACUAAACCCUACCAUACAUAACCACACUGAUUCAGGCGUUCACACCUACCUGAACUGUUUCCACAUUACAUAGCCAUUGCUCCGACAUGCCUCAUCCUAAUA